rnacentral:sRNA from 1 species
CACCGCCUGGGGAGUACGACCGCAAGGUUAAAACUCAAAUGAAUUGACGGGGACCCGCACAAGCAGUGGAGCAUGUGGUUUAAUUCGAAGAUACGCGCAGAACCUUACCAACACUUGACAUGUUCGUCGCGACUUUAAGAGAUUAAAGUCUUCGGUUCGGCCGGACAAAACACAGGUGCUGCAUGGCUGUCGUCAGCUCGUGUCGUGAGAUGUUGGGUUAAGUCCCGCAACGAGCGCAACCCUUACUUUUAGUUGCCACCAUUUAGUUGAGCACUCUGAAAGAACUGCCAGUGAUAAGCUGGAGGAAGGUGGGGAUGACGUCAAGUCCCCAUGGCCCUUACGUGUUGGGCUACACACGUGCUACAAUGGCAUUCACAAUAGGAAGCAAAGAGGCGACUCCAAGCAAAUCCUAAAAAAAUGCCUCAGCUCGGAUUGUACUCUGCAACUCGAGUACAUGAAGAUGGAAUUGCUAGUAAUCGCGGAUCAGCGUGCCGCGGUGAAUACGUUCCCGGGUCUUGUACACACCGCCCGUCACACCAUGGAAGUUGGUUCUACCUUAAGGCAAAGUAUAAAACCUUUGACCACGGUAUAGUCAGCGACUGGGGUGAAGUCGUAACAAGGUAGCCGUAGGGGAACCUGCGGCUGGAUUACCUCCUUUCUAAGGAUGAACAAAAAGAUAUUGCUUUUUGAUCUAAAAAAUACACAGGUUAAUGUUGACCGUCCUCAUUUCUCUUCUUAAAAAGUGUUUCGGACUUACAAAAAAUAUGUAGGGGCCGGUAGCUCAGUUGGUUAGAGCGCACCCCUGAUAAGGGUGAGGUCGGAAGUUCGAAUCUUCCUCGGCCCACCAUAACUUAACUGGGGGAUUAGCUCAGCUGGGAGAGCGCCUGAUUUGCAUUCAGGAGGUCAGCGGUUCGAUCCCGCUAUCCUCCACCACGAAACACUUAGAUCUUUAAAAUUGUAAAUAUUAUUAUUACCAAUAUCUAUAUCCGAACAUUAAUUAUUUUAUUAAUGUUCAAAUAAAAAUUUGAUUAGAACACAGAAUUUUUUUCUG